rnacentral:rRNA from 1 species
AAACGUAGGGGGCUAGCGUUGUCCGGAAUUACUGGGCGUAAAGGGCUCGUAGGCGGUAGUUCAAGUCAGCUGUGAAAGCCGACGGCUCAACCGGAGGAUUGCAGUUGAUACUGAACUACUUGAGGCAAGGAGAGGAAGAUGGAAUUCCCGGUGUAGCGGUGAUAUGCGUAGAUAUCGGGAGGAACACCAGUGGCGAAGGCGGUCUUCUGGCCUUGACCUGACGCUGAGGAGCGAAAGCCAGGGUAGCGAACGGGAUUGGAUACCCCGGUAGUCCUGGCCGUAAACGAUGGACACUAGGUGUAGGUGGUUUCAAAGCCAUCUGUGCCGCAGCUAACGCAUUAAGUGUCCCGCCUGGGGAGUACGGUCGCAAGGCUGAA